CUACAUUAAUGAGAGAUCUUCUCUCUCUCUCCUUCAGCCAACUCCCUUAAAGCUGAGGGUGGCAGUCAGAGGUUGGUGUCAUUCCUUUACAUGAUAGAAACUUAGCUAAUUACUAUGGGUGUAAGAAAUUGGCUACAAUUCCUCCCUUUUCGGGAAUGCUGUCAGGCAAGUCAGUCGACAUACUCAACCACUGAGCAGCACAACAUGCUUUGUCCUACAGCGCACUGCCUGUGGUGUCUAACACUCAGUUCCUCUUCGCUAAUUUGGGUCAGUCCCGCUAUUAUCCUUCUUGAAAGGGGACUUUGAGGAAAUCCUGGAUCUAGGUAAUCAGAAUGCUGACCGCUGCUGUAGGAAGACCUUCCGCUUGUUGUGGGACAAGAGAAACUAUCUCUGAGCUGCCUCCCCAUUCAGCGCCAUCUCAUACUUCAGGGAAUCACAGAAUGGGCAACCAACCCAUCAUCAGCAUCUGGCUCCGAGGCACAUUCCUCUGAGACAAGGCCAGAACUCAAACUAUUCAAUAAAAUUGACAUCUUUGCCCAGUACGGGUUGUCAUCCCUGGACAGUCCCAUAUCUCAGACCCUUUUCAGGUGUCCCAACUUUUCUUUUUAUAAAAAAUGUAUUAAUUCAGGUUACAAGAGCAUAGACUCAAUGACAAUCGCUGAAUGUCAUUACACUUUUUGGUGCUUUGUAACAGAUUCAUCAAAUUGCGUGAGUGCACAGUGCAUUGUUUCGAUGCUUGAGUGGAUGAACAUGCGCAGGUAGCCUACUUUGUUAAGUAAUUUGUUUGACAAUAAAUAUGAAAACUUAAUGACUGGUUGUGUUCAUGCUAAAUAAAAAACAGGCAGUUAAAUAUCAUGGCUUUACUAUUAGGCCCAUACAUUUUUUGGGGUGUGCACACAUUGGAGGUCCCAUGAAAUAAAUAGAGACCCCCGAAUGUCACAGUAUAAUUCGCCCUCUGCGAACAAUGUUGCUAUGACCCAAGUCAAAUAUUCAAAUUGAACUGGCUGUAUGUAGACCAGAGUUUAGACCAGGGAUGGGCAACUGGCAGACCCCUUUUGUAGGCCCAUGUAUCAAGGACUAGGAAAGGCCCCGUGGGCUAAAGGCCCAGUGCAGUACUUUUAGACUCCAACCACCAUAGACUAUUUUUUCUGCUGCCGCACUGCAAGUGGUACCAGUGCAUCAAGUCUGACUCCAACAGGCUCUUGAACAGCUUCUAUCCCCAAACAAUAUGAUUGAUAAAUAGCUAACAAACUUGCUUCAUGGACUAUCUGAGUUAACCUUGUAACUUUACACACA
rnacentral:lncRNA from 13 species